CCUACGGGAGGCAGCAGUGGGGAAUAUUGCACAAUGGGGGAAACCCUGAUGCAGCGACGCCGCGUGAGUGAAGAAGUAUUUCGGUAUGUAAAGCUCUAUCAGCAGGGAAGAAAAUGACGGUACCUGACUAAGAAGCCCCGGCUAAAUACGUGCCAGCAGCCGCGGUAAUACGUAGGGGGCAAGCGUUAUCCGGAUUUACUGGGUGUAAGGGGAGCGUAGACGGCAGAGCAAGUCUGAAGUGAAAGCCCGGGGCCCAACUGGGGGACUGCUUUGGAAACUGCCCGGCUAGAGUGCUGGAGAGGUAAGCGGAAUUCCUAGUGUAGCGGUGAAAUGCGUAGAUAGUAGGAGGAACACCAGUGGCGAAGGCGGCUUACUGGACAGUAACUGACGUUGAGGCUCGAAAGCGUGGGGAGCAAACAGGAUUAGAUACCCCGGUAGUC
rnacentral:rRNA from 1 species